rnacentral:lncRNA from 1 species
AGCCAAGUGCCACAUUAUGUUCACUCAGCAGAAAUCAUCUACCCUUCGUACAUUAUUUGUGUUCACCUUGUGCUGAUUACCAUAUGGCAUCUUCGAAAACUUUUCUUCUUCUUGGUCUUGUCUUUGCUGUUGUCCUCGUCUCCUCUGAGGUCGUCUCAGCUCGCGAGCUGGUUCCGACUACUGCUCAAACCCGUCAGUUUCUUUCUUUCUCAAAUAAAUCUUUUGUUUCUUUUAUUCUAGUAUGAGUUCGUAAACUUUUCGAGGCACAUUCUAUAUGUGGUACAGGAUAGAUCAUGACAAUUUUUAAUGAUACGAAUUAAUUUGUAUUUAUAUAUGUGACUUGUAAAGAAAUGAAUGGUUAAGAUUUCUUUAGCUAAAUGAUGUGCCUGCAUGGCUUAAUUUGCAACUUUUCGACAUAUAUAACGUUUUUCUUUUUAUGCUAUUUUCCUCUUCUUUUUUUUUUUUUCUUUCAGAGGAAAAUGUAGAGAAGGAUAACUAUGGUGACCAUUUUCACUGCCACGAGCAUGGACUUUGGGAGCAUGGCCACGGCCAUUGCCACGGACACUGGGAGCAUUGUGGCCAUGGCUGCCACGGAAAAUGGGGACAUGGUGCUGCUGGGAGUGAAAUAGAGAAUUAGAUAUAAACCUAUAAUUUGCCUGUGGUAGUAUAUGUUGCAGGCAUGUUAUAAGGUUCAUAAAUAAAUCUUUGUUUGUCAAUAAAGCAGCAUUAAUUGGUUGAGUAGAUCCAUAACUCCCAAUCACAGCUGGUUUUUAGGGUUUAUUGAUCCUCGCCUUAGAUUUGCUACAAUGCACUUUGAUUUGCUGAGUUGAAGUUGUGUCAAAAGUGUACUGUUG